rnacentral:rRNA from 1 species
GUGAGUCAUCGAAUCUUUGAACGCACCUUGCGCUCCUUGGUAUUCCGAGGAGCAUGCCUGUUUGAGUGUCAUGAAACCCUCAAACCCAAGUUUUGGAUUUCGAUCCAUGCUUGAGUUUGGAUUUGGAUGUUUGCCGGUGAUGAACCGACUCAUCUUAAAAGUAUUAGCUUGGAUCUGUCUAUAUGACUGGUUUGACUUGGCAUAAUAAGUAUUUUGCUGAGGACAUCCUCGGAUGGCCAGGACCUAGACUACUGUCUGCUAACUAAACCAUCACUUUAAGUGCAUCUUUGGAUGUUACUCAUUGUGUAACUUUGACAUCUGGCCUCAAAUCAAGUAGGACUACCCGCUGAACUUAAGCAUAUCAAUAAG